UAUUUGAAGAGUUUGAUCCUAGCUCAGAGUGAACGCUGGCGGUGCGCCUAACACAUGCAAGUCGCGCGAGGAGCAAUCCUAGCGGCGAACGGCUGCGUAACACGUUGGUACCUGCCCCGAACUCAGGGAUAACCCUCCGAAAGGAGGGCUAAUACCGGAUGGUCUCGUGAGAGUAAAGCUUCGGCGGUUCGGGAGGGGCCUGCGGCCUAUCAGAUAGUUGGCGAGGUAACGGCUCACCAAGUCUAUGACGGGUAGCUGAUCUGAGAGGAUGAUCAGCCAGAAUGGAACUGAGACACGGUCCAUACUCCUACGGGAGGCAGCAGUGAGGAAUCUUCCGCAAUGGGCGAAAGCCUGACGGAGCGACACCGCGUGGAGGAUGAAGUCCUUUUUGGAUGUAAACUCCUGUUCUGAGGGACGAAAUUUUUGACGGUACCUCAGGAGAAAGCAUCGGCUAACCCUGUGCCAGCAGCCGCGGUAAGACAGGGGAUGCAAGCGUUACUCGGAAUUACUGGGCGUAAAGCGUCUGUAGGCGUCCUCCCACGUCUGAUGUAAAAGCACGGGGCUCAACCCCGUGUACGUGUUGGAAACGAGGAGGAUCGAGUCACUGAGAGGCAUCUGGAAUGUCGUGUGUAGGGGUAAAAUCCGUAGAUCCACGAUGGAACGCCAAAAGCGAAAGCAGGAUGCUGGCAGUGUACUGACGCUCAGAGACGAAAGCGUGGGGAGCGAAUGGGAUUAGAUACCCCAGUAGUCCACGCCCUAAACGAUGAGUGCUAGGUAUUGGGAGUAUCGACCCUCUCAGUGCCCUUAAUGAAGCUAACGCGUUAAGCACUCCGCCUGGGAAGUACGGCCGCAAGGCUAAAACUCAAAGGAAUAGACGGGGACCCGCACAAGCGGUGGAUCAUGUGGUU
rnacentral:rRNA from 1 species